GCAAGUCGAGCGGUAGCACAGAGAGCUUGCUCUCGGGUGACGAGCGGCGGACGGGUGAGUAAUGUCUGGGAAACUGCCUGAUGGAGGGGGAUAACUACUGGAAACGGUAGCUAAUACCGCAUAACGUCGCAAGACCAAAGUGGGGGACCUUCGGGCCUCAUGCCAUCAGAUGUGCCCAGAUGGGAUUAGCUGGUAGGUGGGGUAACGGCUCACCUAGGCGACGAUCCCUAGCUGGUCUGAGAGGAUGACCAGCCACACUGGAACUGAGACACGGUCCAGACUCCUACGGGAGGCAGCAGUGGGGAAUAUUGCACAAUGGGCGCAAGCCUGAUGCAGCCAUGCCGCGUGUGUGAAGAAGGCCUUCGGGUUGUAAAGCACUUUCAGCGGGGAGGAAGGCGGUGAGGUUAAUAACCUCGUCGAUUGACGUUACCCGCAGAAGAAGCACCGGCUAACUCCGUGCCAGCAGCCGCGGUAAUACGGAGGGUGCAAGCGUUAAUCGGAAUUACUGGGCGUAAAGCGCACGCAGGCGGUCUGUCAAGUCGGAUGUGAAAUCCCCGGGCUCAA
rnacentral:rRNA from 1 species